AACAAACGCUGGCGGCGUGCCUAACACAUGCAAGUCGUACGAGAAAGGGUCCUUCGGGGCCUGAGUAAAGUGGCGCACGGGUGAGUAACGCGUGGAUAAUCUGCCCUUCAGUUGGGAAUAACUCGUCGAAAGGUGGGCUAAUACCGAAUAAUGCUGUGAGACCUCGGUUGAUCAGCCAAAGAGAGCCUCUGCUUGCAAGCCCUCGCUGAAGGAUGAGUCCGCGUACCAUUAGCUAGUUGGUAGGGUAAUGGCCUACCAAGGCGACGAUGGUUAGCUGGUGUGGGAGGAUGAUCAGCCACACUGGAACGGAGACACGGUCCAGAAUCCUACGGGAGGCAGCAGUGAGGAAUCUUGCGCAAUGGGGGCAACCCUGACGCAGCAACGCCGCGUGAGUGAGGAAGGUCUUCGGAUCGUAAAGCUCUGUCGGAUGGAAAGAACCGCAUAGGGGUAAACAGCCCCUGUGUCUGACGGUACCAUCAAAGGAAGCACCGGCUAACUCCGUGCCAGCCGCCGCGGUAAAAC
rnacentral:rRNA from 1 species